rnacentral:rRNA from 1 species
GACGAACGCUGGCGGCGUGCUUAACACAUGCAAGUCGAACGGAAAGGCCCUGCUUUUGUGGGGUGCUCGAGUGGCGAACGGGUGAGUAACACGUGAGUAACCUGCCCUUGACUUUGGGAUAACUUCAGGAAACUGGGGCUAAUACCGGAUAGGAGCUCCUGCUGCAUGGUGGGGGUUGGAAAGUUUCGGCGGUUGGGGAUGGACUCGCGGCUUAUCAGCUUGUUGGUGGGGUAGUGGCUUACCCAGGCUUUGACGGGUAGCCGGCCUGAGAGGGUGACCGGCCACAAUGGGACCGAGAUACGGCCCAGACGCCUACGGGAGGCAGCAGUGGGGAAUAUUGCACAAUGGGCGGAAGCCUGAGGCAGCAACGCCGCGUGCGGGAUGACGGUCUUCGGGUUGUAAACCGCUUUCGCCUGUGACGAAGCGUGAGUGACGGUAAUGGGUAAAGAAGCACCGGCUAACUACGUG